UACGCAUGCACGCGUGCGGCCCACAUACCAGGCUAAGUGCCCCGUCGGGCUGUUUAGAGUAAAAACAUUCACAGGGCUGACGGGGAAAGUCAGGGAAACAUUUCUUUCGGCGCAAGCAGAAAAAUACGAGCAGAGGCUGUUGUUAUUGCACCGUCUUGGGGCGCUGCUUUGUUUGCUCAGACAACAGCAGAACCUUUAAAUGGAGGCCCGGGACUGAGCCAGAAACCAGAGCACACCACUGGAGAGCCACAUGGACGGUGAACUCCACUCCGAUACCCACAGAGGCGAUGAGAAUGACAACAGGGACGGCACUCAGCUUGAUUCCCAUCAGCCCCAUGAAGCCAAACAGCUCCACGGUCAUGAGAGAAAGCACCAACACCUGUGGACAAACAAGGAGUUACUGUUAGAAAGGAAAAGCAGCUGCUUAAUCUAUUUGAAACGUGGUUUUAAACCUUAAAUCACACGUGUUGGGAAAGAAACGAGUUUAGGAUGAUUGCCGAAAAUAACAACAAUAAGCUGAUGUGCAUAAAACAAUAUUUAUGACUGAUUUAUGUUCCACAACAUCCCUGCUUUGGUAUAAAUUGUUAAGUGCUUGCUGUAAGUUUUAAACAUCAAUUAGUUUUUCUCCUCUGUGUGGACACUAAUACCUUCUAUCAAACUGGUAAGACAAUAUGUAUCAAGCUACUAUCAUAAUGUGCAAAAUUAAAACUACCUGUAAGCACA